rnacentral:rRNA from 1 species
AUUCCUUGUCGGGUAAGUUCCGACCUGCACGAAUGGCGUAAUGAUGGCCAGGCUGUCUCCACCCGAGACUCAGUGAAAUUGAACUCGCUGUGAAGAUGCAGUGUACCCGCGGCAAGACGGAAAGACCCCGUGAACCUUUACUAUAGCUUGACACUGAACAUUGAGCCUUGAUGUGUAGGAUAGGUGGGAGGCUUUGAAGCGUGGACGCCAGUCUGCGUGGAGCCAACCUUGAAAUACCACCCUUUAAUGUUUGAUGUUCUAACGUUGGCCCCUGACCGGGGUUGCGGACAGUGUCUGGUGGGUAGUUUGACUGGGGCGGUCUCCUCCCAAAGCGUAACGGAGGAGCACGAAGGUUAGCUAAUCCUGGUCGGACAUCAGG